UACCUGCGGAAGGAUCAUUACCGAGUUUUCGAGCUCCGGCUCGACUCUCCCACCCUUUGUGAACGUACCUCUGUUGCUUUGGCGGCUCCGGCCGCCAAAGGACCUUCAAACUCCAGUCAGUAAACGCAGACGUCUGAUAAACAAGUUAAUAAACUAAAACUUUCAACAACGGAUCUCUUGGUUCUGGCAUCGAUGAAGAACGCAGCGAAAUGCGAUAAGUAAUGUGAAUUGCAGAAUUCAGUGAAUCAUCGAAUCUUUGAACGCACAUUGCGCCCCUUGGUAUUCCGGGGGGCAUGCCUGUUCGAGCGUCAUUACAACCCUCAAGCUCUGCUUGGAAUUGGGCACCGUCCUCACUGCGGACGCGCCUCAAAGACCUCGGCGGUGGCUGUUCAGCCCUCAAGCGUAGUAGAAUACACCUCGCUUUGGAGCGGUUGGCGUCGCCCGCCGGACGAACCUUCUGAACUUUUCUCAAGGUUGACCUCGGAUCAGGUAGGGAUACCCGCUGAACUUAAGCAUAUCAAUAG
rnacentral:rRNA from 1 species